UUGAACGCUGGCGGCAUGCCUUACACAUGCAAGUCGAACGGUAACAGGGAGCUUGCUCCGCUGACGAGUGGCGAACGGGUGAGUAAUGUAUCGGAACGUACCUUCAGUGGGGGAUAACGUAGCGAAAGUUACGCUAAUACCGCAUAUUCUGUGAGCAGGAAAGCAGGGGAUCGCAAGACCUUGCGCUGAUUGAGCGGCCGAUAUCAGAUUAGGUAGUUGGUGAGGUAAAGGCUCACCAAGCCAACGAUCUGUAGCUGGUCUGAGAGGACGACCAGCCACACUGGAACUGAGACACGGCCCAGACUCCUACGGGAGGCAGCAGUGGGGAAUUUUGGACAAUGGGCGAAAGCCUGAUCCAGCCAUGCCGCGUGAGUGAAGAAGGCCUUCGGGUUGUAAAGCUCUUUCGGCUGGGAAGAAAUCGCACAGGCUAAUACUCUGUGUGGAUGACGGUACCAGCACAAGAAGCACCGGCUAACUACGUG
rnacentral:rRNA from 1 species